AGAAGAAGAAGAAGAAGGAAACAGCACUCUCCUCUCUCUUUCUCUGAAUUUUCUCUUUUUCCUUUCUGCCAUAUUCUUUUAAGAAUCUAGAAAGAGAAAUAGAAGCAGCGGAGCGUCUUGAUUUCGCUGGAAACAUCUGGAUACAUUAUUCAAAGAGGAAUUGGAGUUGUUUUCAGAAGAAUUCUGUGGACUGGGAUUUGAGUUUCCUUAGAAAUCUCAUUUUUCUGUCUGAUCCUGAAGCUUUGGAGGAAUUUUUAAGUCGGAAGAUCAGUUUCUGGGUUGGUGAAGAUCGGAUUUGGAAUUCAGACGGAGGAUUAAAGCUCUGAUUUACUUGAAACAGUUCCUAAUUCUGAGGACUAAAGACGAUCAGAACCAUUGUUGGUUCUCGGUUGUUGAUAUGAGUUUUCAAAAUGAAAUCCAAGUGUAUAAAUACAAAUUCAGAUUUUGAGGCCGACUCGUGUGAUGUAUCAAAACUAAGGUCUUUCUGAUAGAGAUUCCAAAGUGAUUGCCAAGAUUUUCAUGAGCAACUUCUUUGAUUACAGAAUUUCAGCAUAAUUUUGAGCUAAUGUGAUUAUUUGGAUUCCCAAGCAAGAGUUUCAGAACAUUUGCUGGCAGUGGCGGAGUUAGGAAUUGCAAUUAGGGGGGAGUCUCUGUUAUUUGUCCAAAUAACUCUCAAACAUAUUAUUUGGGUCCUUAGGAGGGGA